rnacentral:rRNA from 1 species
GUCUAUGGCUACGCCACCCUGAACAAGCCUGAUCCCAUCCGAUCUCAGAAGCUAAGCAGGGUUGGGCCUGGUUAGUACUUGGAUGGGAGACCACCUAGGAAGACCGGGUGCUAUAGGCA